UCAAAACCAACUCUCAAGUUCACUGCAAUCGUCGAAUUGUACAAGCUAAACAUUUGCUAAGAAAGAAUUGGAUUCAUUGUUAUUAUUGUAUUGACGUUAUUUCUGGAAAAUGGCAGGAGAGUAAUAAGGAUGGAAUGUUUUGAGGGGACAACUUGGUAUUACUAAUAUAUUGAAAAUGAUGUGUAUAGCUAAUACAUAACUCAAUAUAUAAUAAAGUGUAUAAAUAAUGCAAUAGGCUAAAAAAUACCCAAUCAUGAGAAAUGCAAAGCUCAAAGCUUAGUCAUCUGAGUAAGAUCUAAAUCCAGCUCACUAAAAUGAUGAGCGACAAGAUUUGCUAAAUUCCAUUACUGUGAACUUGCUCGAAGCAUCUUCGACUUCAGUAUCUCAUCCUUUUCAGAUAAGUGAGCUUUAAGCUUGGUCUAAGAUUUCUUCUCCUUUUUUAAAUAUUGAUGGGUUGAAGCUAUAAAGAUAUUAAUACCACCAUCAGAUCUACAGAAAGCGGGUCAAAAUCCUAGUUUUCCGGUCUAACUCUUUGUUAUAACUUGUAGCAGGUAUUUCUGAACAAGACAAGGUUUGGAAAUUCAGCAACUAGAGCUCCAUUUAAGUACAUCAGGUCUUGAUUUGGUAUAUAAUUCCACCUCAAAGCUCUCAGUAGGUGUUUGGAAUCUAAGAUCCUCCAAUUUGGGCCAACUAUAGGAUAAUUUACCAAUUACUAUCUGAGAGCCAAAAUGCAGGGAUUCACAGAGGAAUCCGAGGUUUUAGCAGCUGGACAGGAGUUUUUACGGAGAAAACUCGAGCAAUCAGCUAUGGGGGUGGAUUAAGGAAGAAGAUGAAAAUAGAAUUCAAUUAGGAAAACUGUAUUAUUAUUCAAUUGAUGAUUGAAUUUGUAGAUACAAUGCCUUUUAUAAGAAAUGAGAGUGAAUCUAAUUUGCUAACUGCUUCUAACUAAUUCACUAGCAUGUAACUAACUGCUGAUAUGGCAAAGCUAAUUAACUUGUCCAGUUGAUUCA